rnacentral:rRNA from 1 species
AUUGAACGCUGGCGGCAUGCCUUACACAUGCCAGUCGAACGGUAACGGGCCUUCGGGUGCCGACGAGUGGCGAACGGGUGAGUAAUACAUCGGAACGUGCCCGAUCGUGGGGGAUAACGAGGCGAAAGCUUUGCUAAUACCGCAUACGAUCUACGGAUGAAAGCAGGGGACCGCAAGGCCUUGCGCGGACGGAGCGGCCGAUGGCAGAUUAGGUAGUUGGUGGGAUAAAAGCUUAUCAAGCCGACGAUCUGUAGCUGGUCUGAGAGGAUGAUCAGCCACACUGGGACUGAGACACGGCCCAGACUCCUACGGGAGGCAGCAGUGGGGAAUUUUGGACAAUGGGCGCAAGCCUGAUCCAGCCAUGCCGCGUGCAGGAUGAAGGCCUUCGGGUUGUAAACUGCUUUUGUACGGAACGAAAAGCCUUCUUUUAAUACAGGAGGGUCAUGACGGUACCGUAAGAAUAAGCACCGGCUAACUACGUG